UGGUGAUGAUGUGUGAAUUUCUUCAGCUGAACAAACUGUGUGGUUCUAAAUGAGCUUUUUAACCCUGAACCAG